AUCACAUUUUUAAUGAGUUGAAUUUUCUAGUGAACCAUUCCUUUAAGUAACUUAAUAAGUUGAAAUGCAUUGUCCUUCACAAAUGUGUGGUCUGACAGGUUCAAACAGCGUUGGGUUCAAAAACCUUGUAAGGUCUGCGUACACAGUGACAGUCUCCACUUGACAAAGAUGUAGAGCGAUGUACAGCGCUUUUAAGACAGUUGAAAAAAUGACUCAAAAUUUCGUUAGGGUUAGGGUCACCAUAAAAAAAUAAACUAACCAAUUGAGUUUCUGGUUUGUGUAGAUUCAACUGUGCUGUGGAUAUAACUUGAAAAACACUUUUUUGAUGAGAUGGGGUUAAUUUUGUGCUAGUGAAUAUUUCUUCUGUAGUAUCAUUUAAAUUGAAUGCAGCAAAAUAGUCCUCCUUUGCUUUAUCAAGAUUCCUAGUUGAACAUACAUUUACAUUAUGAGAAGGAGGAUAUGUAAAUGAAUUACCUUUAAGCCAGCUAUUCAAUGUUUCUCCAGUAACAUGGUUGUUUAGAAUGUAAGUCAACUUUGUGAUCAAUCCAAGAACACGAAACAAAGCACUAUUUCCGUAUAUUUUCGUAUAUUUUCCUUCCUGUUACAGUUUGAUAUUAGAAUGUUGUUCUGAGUUCACUGUUAACUAUUUGAUAAAUAUAAUUGAUUUCCGCCGCGUAAGGCGGAAUCUUUAAAAUCGCCUUGGAAGAUAGAGAGAUAGGGACCACCUAUAGCCUGAACGCGCGGUGUCCAGAUUAAAGUAUUUUACCCUGGGCCUGAAAGUUGUUUAAUUUCUUAAAAGCCAAUAGAAAUGCGUUAUUUGAUUUUUUAGCCAAUAGGGUCUCAGAUUGUCAGAACCUGAUAUCGUGGCUUCCUGUGAUGCUUUGUCUCGAAGUUCUUCGAGUUUCAGGUCCCACAGGCCAAAGUUUCUUGCCCAAAACAAUCGGUUACCGUUCCUCUUGAUAUGUUUGAAACUCCAAAUCAAUGUUUUGCAAAACAGGAUGUUUGGUCGAUGAGACUUCUCAGGUCAGCCAUAAUCUAACACAGCCAUUAUCAGCAUUUCCAAAAAAAUGUUGACAGAGUAUACUGCAAACAUUAAUUUGUGAAAAAUGAAUCACUAAAACUAAUAUAUAUUUAUAUAAUUUAUUAUAGUCUUAUUUUGGUUAAUAGUAUUUACUUCACAUUAUUUUUAAGGGAAACUAGACGUCUAUGGUUCUUCUAUGAUUUUACAGAAUUUGUAUCAUGAAAAUUUUUAGAACUUUCUAGGUAGAUCCCAAGUUUUUAUACUUUUUAUAACUGUGUGUAAAUCUGCAUAUUUUUGUUAUUUAUUCAGGUGUAAUUAAAUUGAAGUAUAUCUAAAUUGCGUUAUUUGUCGCCCAUAUUUAAUACUUUUCAGACCAGGUUACUUUAACCCCUUUUUUAUAUAAGAACAAUGUUAUAAGAACAUGAACCUUGACAUGAAU